rnacentral:rRNA from 1 species
AUUGAACGCUGGCGGCAGGCCUAACACAUGCAAGUCGAACGAGUGGCGGACGGGUGUGUAAUGUCUGGGAAACUGCUCGACGGAGGGGGAUAACUACUGGAAACGGUAGCUAAUACUGCAUACCCUAGGAUGUGCCCAGAUGGGAUUAGUUAGUAGGUGGGGUAACGGCUCACCUAGGCGACGAUCCCUAGCUGGUCUGAGAGGAUGACCAGCCACCCUGGAACUGAGACGCGGUCCAGACUCCUACGGGAGGCAGCAGUGGGGAAUAUUGCACAAUGGGAGGAAGCCUGAUGCAGCCAUGCCGCGUGUAUGAAGAAGGCCUUCGGAUUGUAAAGUUCUUUCAGCGAGGAAGCGUUACUCGCAGAAGAAGCACCGGCUAACUCCGUGCCAGCCGCCGCGGUAAUAC